GACGAACGCUGGCGGCGUGCUUAACACAUGCAAGUCGAACGGAAAGGCCCUGCUUUUGUGGGGUGCUCGAGUGGCGAACGGGUGAGUAACACGUGAGUAACCUGCCCUUGACUUUGGGAUAACUUCAGGAAACUGGGGCUAAUACCGGAUAGGAGCUCCUGCUGCAUGGUGGGGGUUGGAAAGUUUCGGCGGUUGGGAAUGGACUCGCGGCUUAUCAGCUUGUUGGUGGGGUAGUGGCUUACCAAGGCUUUGACGGGUAGCCGGCCUGAGAGGGUGACCGGCCACAUUGGGACUGAGAUACGGCCCAGACUCCUACGGGAGGCAGCAGUGGGGAAUAUUGCACAAUGGGCGGAAGCCUGAUGCAGCAACGCCGCGUGCGGGAGGACGGCCUUCGGGUUGUAAACCGCUUUCGCCUGUGACGAAGCGUGAGUGACGGUAAUGGGUAAAGAAGCACCGGCUAACUACGU
rnacentral:rRNA from 1 species